rnacentral:rRNA from 1 species
UACGUAGGGUGCUAGCGUUGUCCGGAAUCAUUGGGCGUAAAGAGCGUGUAGGCGGUCCGGUAAGUCUGCUGUGAAAGUCGGGGGCUCAACCCUCGAAUGCCGGUGGAUACUGUCGGGCUAGAGUGCGGAAGAGGCGAGUGGAAUUCCUGGUGUAGCGGUGAAAUGCGCAGAUAUCAGGAGGAACACCUAUUGCGAAGGCAGCUCGCUGGGACGUAACUGACGCUGAGACGCGAAAGCGUGGGGAGCAAACAGG